AUGGAUAUUAAUCUGAAAUAGCAUUCAUAAUUUUUUGGCAUCUGUAGUCUUUUAUCCGCAGAAUAUUAUCUUUGAGAUGGCAAAUGCAUUCUUCUCUUUCACACCAUUUGAUUUCGGAAUCCAAGGCGGUUUGAGUCCACCCCAUCUUGAAGAUUAUGACAAAGAAGAAGAUACAGUCAUGUUCAAUGUUGGUAAAGGAGACCAUUUAUUUGGUCUAGAUGAUCAGUUGGGAGAAAUGAACACUCUUUCUUCUGAACAUGGUUUCUACCAAGACAACAAGGCCAAGAAAGUAGUAGUAGUAUCCCAUCUGUCCAAAGAGCAAAACCAACACCAUGAUAUUGACCAGCAGCAGCAACAACAGAAAACCAAACCAAGCUUUUUGAUUUUGGAUAACUUCAACUUCGAGACUGUUUCUUCUCAACAAGGUUUCUAUCAUGCCGGGAAGGAUGACCAACACCACCAUUACCAACAACAGCAACAACAAUCCAAGUCAACUUCUUCAAUUUUGGAGAAUUUCAGCAGCUUUGAUUUUAGCUUCCCCUCAGGACAAGCUACACAAACAAUUGAGGAUGGUGCUCGGUUUACACUUCAGAGCCAGAUGGGAGGCUCAAACAUUGUCGAAACUAACAAGCAAAUGCCGCCUCCUCAAUCUUCUUUAGCAACACAGGAGCUACUAAACAGUUACGGAAGCGCCUUUAAGAAGUUGAAGGGAGAAAGGCAAACCAGUAGCAGGGCAGCUAAGGGCAUUGAAACCUAUCAAAACAGCAACUAUGUUGUUAAUGGUAAACAGAAACUGUCGACUGAGGAGAUCAUGAGGGUUGCUGGAGCAAGGUAUGUGCAAUUCUCUGGUCAGGGGUAUGAUGACUUUUACAUGCCUAUGCACCAUUUUGGCUAUGCGCUUCCAGGUCUUUGCGAAGAAGAAACAAAAGAUGUAGAACUUGCUCACUUGCUGUUAGCUAUAGCAGAGAAAGUAGGCUACCAACAAUUCGAAAGAGCUAGCAGAUUGCUUGUGCAGUGUGAAUGGUCUGCUUCAUUGAAAGGCACUACUGUUCAGAGAGUUGUGUGCUACUUUGCUGAGGCGCUACGCGAGAGGAUCAAAAAAGAAACAGGAAUGUAUGCAUCUAAGGGAAAUCAAGAAAUGUCUCAUUAUGUACAGGGUUUGGGACAAACCUUGCAUACAUCGUAUGCCACCAAGAAGUCCCUUUCCAUCUAGUACUGCAGUUCGCGGCAAUCCAAGCCAUGAUAGAAACUGUUGCAAAUGAGAGAAGGAUCCAUUUGAUUGAUCUUGAAAUUAGGAGUGGUGUGCAAUGGACAGGGUUUAUGGAAGCACUAGCAGAACGAGAGGAGUGUCCGGUUGAGCUUCUAACCAUUACUGCUGUGGGAGUUAGAGGCAAACAGAAUAUAAAGGAGACAGGGGAGAGGUUAGCAAGUGUGGCAAAGUCCUUGAACCUACCCUUUGAGUACAAGGAAGUUAUUGUAUCAGACAUGCAAGACAUUAAGGAUCAUCUUUUCGAUGAAAUUGAAGAUGAAGAAGCUGUGGUUGUGUACGCGCCAUUAGUACUGAGGACAAUGAUAAUGAGGCCUAGGUGCUUGGAGAACUUGAUGAGGGUGAUGAGAAAUAUCAACCCUUGUUUGAUGGUGGUCAUGGAAGUAGAAGCAAACCAUAACUCACCGUCAUUUGUGAACCGUUUCAUUGAUGCAUUGUUUUACUAUAGUGCAUUUUUUGACUGCCUUGAAAAUUGUAUGAAACAUAACAAGUACAGGGUUUUCAUUGAAGACUUGUUACGCAAGGGAAUCCAGAACAUAGUGGCGGCAGAAGGGAGUGAAAGGGUUGCUCGAAGUGUGAAGAUGGAUGUGUGGAGAACUUUCUUUGCAAGGUUUAGAAUGGUAGAAAUGAGCUUUAGUAACUCAUCUUUGUAUCAAGCAAGUCUGGUGGCUAAGAAGUAUUGUUGCACAACACUUGAUAGGAAUGGAAAAUGUCUAACUGUUGGAUGGAAGGGAACCCCAAUUCAUUCGCUUUCAGCUUGGAAGUUCCGUUGAGAGACAUAUGGUCUUCAAAACAAAUGUAACACAGGCUUGUUCUAAAUUCUGAAAACAGAAAAGAUUUUCAUGCUUGUGAAAUGUAAAUGAUAAAUUUUCUACAUUAUUGUAGUAUGUAUACCCAAAACAAUCGUC